GAUGAACGCUGGCGGCGUGCCUAAUACAUGCAAGUCGAGCGAACAGACGCGGCGCUUGCUCCUUUGACGUUAGCGGCGGACGGGUGAGUAACACGUGGGUCACCUCCUUAUAAUACUGGGAUAAUUUCGGGAAUCCGGAGAAAAUCCCGGAUAAUAUUCCGCACCGCGUGGUUCGUUAGUGAAAGUUGGCUUUGCUGUCUCUACUCGCUGGACCUGCGCCGUAUUAGCUAGUUGGUAAGGUAACGGCUUACGAAGGCAAGGAUACGUAGCCGACCUGAUAGGGUGAUAGGCCACACGGGAAGUGAGACACGGUCAAGGCUCCUACGGGAGGGAGCAGUAGGGAAUCGGCCGCAAUGGGCGAAAGCCUGACGGAGCAACGCCGCGUGAGAGAUGAAGGCCUUCGGAUCGUAAAACUGUGUUAUUAGGGAAGAACAAACGUGUAAGUAACUGAGCACGUCUUGACGGUACCUAAUCAGAAAGCCACGGCUAACUACGUG
rnacentral:rRNA from 1 species